rnacentral:rRNA from 1 species
GCGAUUGAGAGUUUGAUCAUGGCUCAGGACGAACGCUGGCGGCGCGCUUAACACAUGCAAGUCGAACGCCCCGCAAGGGGAGUGGCAGACGGGUGAGUAACACGUGGGAAUGUACUUAAUGGUUCGGAACAACUCCGGGAAACUUGAGCUAAUACCGAAUGUGCCCGAAAGGGGAAAGAUUUAUCGCCAGUAAAUCAGCCCGCGUCCGAUUAGCUAGUUGGUGAGGUAAAGGCUCACCAAGGCGACGAUCAGUAGCUGGUCUGAGAGGAUGAUCAGCCUCACUGGGACUGAGACACGGCCCAGACUCCUACGGGAGGCAGCAGUGGGGAAUAUUGCACAAUGGGCGAAAGCCUGAUGCAGCGACGCCGCGUGAGGGAUUAAGGCCUUCGGGUUGUAAACCUCUUUCAGCAGGGAAGAAGCGAAAGUGACGGUACCUGCAGAAGAAGCACCGGCUAACUACGUGCCAGCAGCCGCGGUAAUG